UACGGAGUGAGCGAGCGUUGUCCGAAGUUACUGGGCGUAAAGCGCGCGUAGGCGGGGAAUUAAGUGAGAAGUGAAAGGCUGGGGCUCAACCUCAUGCAGUGCUUCUCAUACUGGUUCUCUUGAGGGCGGUAGGGAGAAGUGGAAUGGCUGGUGUAGCGGUGAAAUGCGUAGAUAUCAGUCGGAACACCAAUUGCGAAGGCAGCUCACUACUCAAUCAUUGACUCUGAGGCACGAAAGCGUGGGGAUCAAACAGG
rnacentral:rRNA from 1 species